UACGAAGGGGGCUAGCGUUGUUCGGAAUUACUGGGCGUAAAGCGCGCGCAGGCGGUCUUCCAAGUCAGUGGUGAAAGCCCGGAGCUCAACUCCGGAAUUGCCAUUGAAACUGUUGGACUUGAGGGUGAGAGAGGUGAGUGGAAUUCCCAGUGUAGAGGUGAAAUUCGUAGAUAUUGGGAAGAACACCGGUGGCGAAGGCGGCUCACUGGCUCAUUACUGACGCUCAGGCGCGAUAGCGUGGGGAUCAAACAGG
rnacentral:rRNA from 1 species